rnacentral:rRNA from 1 species
AUUGAACGCUGGCGGCAGGCCUAACACAUGCAAGUCGAGCGAGCGGCGGACGGGUGAGUAAUGUCUGGGAAACUGCCUGAUGGAGGGGGAUAACUACUGGAAACGGUAGCUAAUACCGCAUACCAUCAGAUGUGCCCAGAUGGGAUUAGCUAGUAGGUGGGGUAAGGGUUCACCUAGGCGACGAUCCCUAGCUGGUCUGAGAGGAUGACCAGCCACACUGGAACUGAGACACGGUCCAGACUCCUACGGGAGGCAGCAGUGGGGAAUAUUGGACAAUGGGCGCAAGCCUGAUGCAGCCAUGCCGCGUGAGUGAAGAAGGCUUUCGGGUUGUAAAGCGCUUUCGGCAGGGAAGCGUUACCCACAGAGGAAGCAACGGCUAACUCCGUGCCAGCAGCCGCGGUAAUAC